ACAGAGACAGCACGCUUUGCCAAGUCGUCGCGGCGGGACGAUGUGUGACCCCAGCCGCUGACCAUUAAUUGAUUGGUGGAACUUGGUUCAGUCGCACCAAGGCAAUGUCAUUCAGCAUUCUUGCUCUGCUAUUCACGAUGUAAUCCGGAUGCACAAUAAUCUCGUCGACUUCAAUGCGUUGAUAUUGCUGACAACCUGGAGUACCAAAAUCACAUUUUAACCCAUUAGUAAAGUUGCCCACACGCACUGCUUUCCUGUACACAAACCCCCAAAAUAGUCGACCAUUCUGUCAGACACACAAUGCGCUGCCGUCACCACGUAAAGCGAGUUGACAAUGGAUCCAGCACAGACUCCAGCGGGGGCUUCAUAAUCAGCAUACUCCAAACUAACUAACCAGCUAAAUUCAUCGGGCUCGAUCACUCGACCACCAACUACUCGGUCGGAUUCGUACCAAGGCGUUGAUCCACAAUCUUUUGGAAAUUUGUCUUCUUCCUCAGCUGACUCUGUUAUCCGCGUCUUCACAAAGGUUGGACAGCAAUAUUUGAAAGGCUCAUUGCAUUCGCUGCUUUCUCGCAUUGCUUUAGUGCCUAACAUGAGUUCCGGACAAUCCAAUAAUAAUACACACGAUUCAGACGAAGUGCAUUGCCGACAGUUUGUUGACAUGACUUGCCAUAACAAAAUGACAAAUAAUAUAAUCUGAUUCAUGAUGCUUUCACGGCAAAUACAGAAAUUGUACUAAACUCUUGAUUACUGCUGCUGUUGUUUUUAUAAUUAUGCACUUCGACUGAUUAUAAGAGUAAUCCAUUUUCCAUUUUAUAUUGCUCUGAUGAAAUUCUAGCAUCAAAAAUUCUCUGAGUUUAAAAUCAGUCAAAAUAUUGUACGAGGGUUGAUCGUUCAAUAACAAAUUAGUACUUUUUUAAAUAAAGUAUAAUUUUAGCA